UCCAGACUCCUACGGGAGGCAGCAGUGGGGAAUAUUGCACAAUGGGGGAAACCCUGAUGCAGCGACGCCGCGUGGGUGAAGGAGCACCUCGGUGCGUAAAGCCCUAUCGGCAGGGAAGAAACAGACGGUACCUGACUAAGAAGCCCCGGCUAACUACGUGCCAGCAGCCGCGGGAAUACGUAGGGGGCAAGCGUUAUCCGGAUUCACUGGGUGUAAAGGGAGCGUAGACGGCGACGCAAGUCUGGAGUGAAAGCCCGGGGCCCAACCCCGGGACUGCUUUGGAAACUGUAUAGCUGGAGUGCAGGAGAGGUAAGUGGAAUUCCUAGUGUAGCGGUGAAAUGCGUAGAUAUUAGGAGGAACACCAGUGGCGAAGGCGGCUUACUGGACUGUAACUGACGUUGAGGCUCGAAAGCGUGGGGAGCAAACAGGAUUAGAUACCCCAGUAA
rnacentral:rRNA from 1 species